GCCUGGGUGGCUCAACGGUUGAGCAUCUGCCUUUGACUCAGGUCGUGAUCCCAGAGUCCUGGGAUCAAGUCCCACAUCAGGCU
rfam:Canis lupus familiaris chromosome 11, whole genome shotgun sequence.